AAGCCGUUCUCAGUUCGGAUCGGAGUCUGCAACCCGACUCCGUGAAGCUGGAUUCGCUAGUAAUCGCGCAUCAGCCAUGGCGCGGUGAAUACGUUCCCGGGUCUUGUACACACCGCCCGUCACACCAUGGGAGUUGGAAAUGCCCGAAGUCAGUGACCCAACCGCAAGGAGGGAGCUGCCGAAGGCAGGUCCGGUAACUGGGGUGAAGUCGUAACAAGGUAGC
rnacentral:rRNA from 1 species